UGAACCCCUGCUGAUGGAGAGGUCUGU
rnacentral:piRNA from 1 species